AGAACGAACGCUGGCGGCAGGCUUAACACAUGCAAGUCGAGCGCCCUGCAAGGGGAGCGGCGGACGGGUGAGUAACACGUGGGAACAUGCCCUUUGGUUCGGAACAACUCAGGGAAACUUGAGCUAAUACCGAAUGUGCCGGUAACGGGAAAGAUUUAUCGCCAAGGGAUUGGCCCGCGUCCGAUUAGCUAGUUGGUGAGGUAAAGGCUCACCAAGGCUCCGAUCGGUAGCUGGUUUGAGAGAACGACCAGCCACACUGGGACUGAGACACGGCCCAGACUCCUACGGGAGGCAGCAGUGGGGAAUCUUGGACAAUGGGGGAAACCCUGAUCCAGCCAUGCCGCGUGAGUGAUGAAGGCCCUAGGGUUGUAAAGCUCUUUUGUGCGGGAAGAUAAUGACGGUACCGCAAGAAUAAGCCCCGGCUAACGUUCGUGCCAGCAGCCGC
rnacentral:rRNA from 1 species